rnacentral:rRNA from 1 species
AUUGAACGCUGGCGGCAGGCUUAACACAUGCAAGUCGAGCGAGCGGCGGACGGGUGAGUAAUGUCUGGGAAACUGCCUGAUGGAGGGGGAUAACUACUGGAAACGGUAGCUAAUACCGCAUACCAUCAGAUGUGCCCAGAUGGGAUUAGCGAGUAGGGGGGGUAAUGGCUCACCAAGGCGACGAUCCCUAGCUGGUCUGAGAGGAUGAACAGCCACACGGGGACUGAGACACGGUCCAGACUCCUACGGUGGGCAGCAGUGGGGAAUAGUGGACAAUGGGCGAAAGCCUGAUGCAGCCAUGCCGCGUGUUUGAAGAAGGCCUUCGGGUUGUAAAGCACUUUCAGCGAGGAGGCGUUACUCGCAGAAGAAGCACCGGCUAACUCCGUGCCAGCAGCCGCGGUAAUUC